UAUAUAUAUAUAUAUAUAUAAAAUGUAGGAAAAAGAGCGUAUAAUCUCAUCCAUUCUGAUAAAUCGUCCUAGAGUAUAAAAAAAGAUUUAGGCUUAUUGCAGCUCAACACCAAAAACAAAAAGAUGUGAAUGACAGAGGAAAGUAACAUGGAUUGCACUGCUGGAACAUGGAAGACUUUGUUUUGAUACACUAAAGUGCAGUCAGAAUAGUCGAACAUUAAAAAACAUAUCCCUGUAAAAGGCAGCAGAGACGCUUUGCCCAUAUUUUACUUCUGUAGAAUCUAAGCUGGUACGUAAAAAUGUAUACUGACAGCUAUUAAAUAAUAGAACUUGUUGAAACAGCACAUUUAUAAUUUCAACAAUGCUCAAAACAGGCAGAUAAGAAAAAUAUGAAAAUUUCUAUUUUAUUUGUUUACCAUGUUUAUGGCAUGCUCCUGAACAGCGAAAACAUGCUGAAACUUUACCGGUGUGUCACAUCAUGUUUUAAAUACAUAUAUUUAUUUGUUUAUCUUUUUUCUUUUUCUAUUUUAAAAAACUCUGUUGCCUCCCUCAAACACUUUUGACACCUCCAAACCUUUUUGAAUUAAUAGGAGGAACACACGUCUCAAGAAAGGUGGAAUGAAAGAGAUGUAAAGGAAGGUGACAAUACAAACAAACAAACAACAGGAAUGAAGAAAAUGAGUGUAGAAUGAAGAAGAGAGUCAAGGAUGCAAAUGUCGAACCUGGUGCUAUCAGGACAGCUACUUGACAGGCUGUAAUGAGCAGAGAAGAAAGAAAAUCAUGCAUGACACGAGCUCAUGGAACGACACAAGGUAUCAAGGCCCAAGAGGACGAGAACAAAAAAGAAAGUAGGCAGAAGGCAGAAGCAAGGAGUGAAGGGAGCUUGUGGCGCGCUGCGGACCGCUGUAAUAAUCUUACCUGUGUGCUCUCAGCAGAGUGCUCGUGUCAUAUCUCAGUGGGCACAGAGCUCAAAGAUGAGUGCUCUCCCUUCCUUCUCCCUCUUUCUUAUAGAUAUACAAUUCUGUACCUCUAUCACUUUCCUGCUCUUGCCUUUUGCCUCAUCCAGAAAAACAAAACACCCAAAUCACUUUCUAAGCUGAUCAACACCCACCCAACUCUGAUCCCACAUAAGAAUGGCGUACAGAUCUGUAAAUAGGUUUUCAUAGACCCAUUUACAGAUCUGUUCCCUCAAUAUAUCCAGGCGUGUAAAAGAAACUAGAUAUUUUCCAGUUUAUGGAUUCAAUUAUACUGGGUUUGUGAAUUCCUAGCAUGUAUUGCAGCAAUAAUUAAUUAUGUUGUUAUUGAUGUAAGAUUAUUGUUUUGCUGUUUUUUUGUUGUGUGUGUCAAAUUUUGAAGUCUUAUUGUAUUUCUAAAUGAACAUUUGCUGAACAAGAAAUCUUUGGUAGCCUCAAUUAAUUUA